ensembl:lncRNA
UUUUUUGUUUUCUUCUUCUCCCACUUAGCUCUGCCAUCUUAUCUAUCUCAAUAAGUCGCUGAACUACACUUUCUUCAGCGAUUUACAUUUCAAAACUGGAUUUCCAGAUUUCUGAGCACUGAAGCCACAAUUAUCUUCACCACUGACUUCCAAGCCUUCAUCAAUGUGAACUGUGAAACUACCAAAAUCUGGAAGUGACAUUAAAAGGCCACACCUGGCAAAAUAAAUGUACUAACCUGUAGUCACUAUACUUGCUAAAACCACAAUAUACUCAGUAAGUGUUGCAGAAAGUCAACCAUGCAGCUGGUAACUUGAAUGUCAUAGUGCUAGAAUGACUUCUACGCUUGCCUUAGGCUGUUUUCUUAGGCCUUCGGAAUAUCCCUUUACAACAGUACAGAUUACAGCGCGUAGGAGACUUGAGGGUAAAAUCUGGCCUUUCAUUGGGUAAAAUCCUGGGAGAAAAUGGGCAGGCACUAGUUAAACAACCGCAGACCUUUUGCUUUCUCAGAGUGUGUCUCCUCACAUAUAUAUCUCUCUCUUUAUUUUCCUACACAGCACCGUUGCAGCAAUUUGUCAUUUAUGCAUUUUCAUAAAUAAAUAUUAUGUUUUAUUUAGUGCUUUAUCAUCCUUAAUAGUUUACUCUUAAUCCACACACUGGAGUUAUUCCAGACUCCCAACUGAAUAUAUAUAUAUUUUUAUAUAUAUAUAUAUAUAAAAAACACAUAAACUUGAACAUUUAACAUACACACUUUAUGUAACCUGUCAACCAGUAUCUUCGAUCCCUUAAUUUUGGACCAGAAACGGUAAAGUUUGUUCAGAAAACCAGUGACUGGCCCUUUUUCUUGCAACACAUACUGACAGCAGGUGCCAAGGGCAUCGCAUGCCUUGCCCACCAGCCAGGAAAGCACCCUCCAAAACAGUUUUUGGGAAUGCCAUAAUAAUUAAAAAAAAAAAAAAAAAAUCUCUAUUUGAGGAAAGCAGACAUGAAACACACUUAAAUACAGCAGGGAAAAGGCACAUCCUCUGCUGCACAUCCACUUACCCAGGACCUGCAGGGACCACGUGCAGAGGGGUGGAUCAACUGAGCCUGCCCCCAACUGCUGCCAAAGUCAAUGGUCUCAUUUGUCAGAGCUGAGAAACUCCAGUUCCUUGGGGCUGUGCUGGUUUGUAUGAAAGGGCAUGAAGGUGAAACGAGUGAGAGUGGAAACCCUGUGGCUCCAUUCAGUAAGACAAAAAGGUGAAAAGAUGCUGGGCUGUCCUCAUUUUGGGCCACAAAUCUUCAAGCCAAGGCAGGCAUGGAGAGGAGCAAACUCUGCUUUCAGCCAAGUAAGCACACUGCUUUUUAAGGACAGGGGAAACCAGUUUUGCCCCCUUGGAGCCAGGGUUUGGUGUACUAUUAACUCUCAGAGAUUUUCUUUUGUAUUCCUCGGUAUUUUGGGGUACAGGCAGGGAAACUGCACUGCGGAAAAAACACUCUAAUUAACAAAAAUCCUCUGAUUGAAAUUUUUAAUAGCUAUAAUCAUGGAGGUCUUGCUGAGUCUCUUGAACCUGUACAUUUUUCUGUUAGCUUGAAACUAUAAAAUGGUAAUUUUUCCAGCUAGAAAUACCUUCAGGGAGCUGUGAAGUUAAACCCCAAUUAUAUACUUACCUACCACAAAUAAAUAAGUUUUGUCCAAAAAGGGGAAAAAAGAUGCAUUACAGAAAUGCUGAGGCUAAAUCCAGCAUGGCAAUUAUUUCAAUUCAGAAAUAGGCUUAGCAUAAUCAAAGCAGCAUUUGUAAGGACUUACUUACUUCAAAAUUAAAUUGAACACCAUCUAGUGAAACACGACAUAGGCAGGCAAAAAACAAAAUAAGGGUAAAGAAGGGUAAACUGGUAACUCUUACACAUCUCAUUUUCAUAAUCUGAUGAAGAACAGAGACCUUUCUAAAGAAAGUACUUCACAGGGAAUAUUCCACCUCUAAUUUCCCCUUCUGUAGUUCGAACACCACAGCAACUGCUGCAGCCCCAGGAAAGAGGAAAGACCAUCAAUACGUUUCCCUUUGCUCUUCUCCUCUAAAAGCUCCUCUUGCUGGGAACCAUGAUGCUAUGCGGCCCCAGCUUGGCAGCAGAGCGGUGCCUCCCAGAGGCAUGGAGGCUUCUGGAACACUGCACGAAAUAGUAAGGCAAAUGAAGCUUGAGGCAAAUGGUUUGGUUUGUGGUGCCUCUCCCUACAGCGGGAGAAGUGCUGGAUGUACUUGCCUGCUGUCAGCCACGGUGCCCAGCCUUCAUCAUCCACCUGAGUCCCGCACUCCUUCCCUGUGGGCUUCCUACUGCAGCUGGGAAGCACCAGGUCUCCUUGUUUAAAGAAAAAUGACUGCCACCCCCCAAAAUUGGGAAUUUUUGAGGUUUUUCACUUUCCCUUAAAAAAGGAAACACAGAUUAUUUUGUUUUCCAGCUGUGCUUGUAGAUGGAUACCUCACUUUUACACAGACAAAAGAGCAAGUUAAUAGUUUUUUCUCACAAGGAACUUCCUCUCACCCAGUGGUUGUGUAUGUACAUGACAGCAGUUUCAAAUUCACCAGCAGAUCCAAAUGUGUACUUCAUUUCCACUCACACACAAAACACUUUAUUUUGCAGUGGGAGGAAAGAAAGAAAAAAGAAAGCCAAGAAAAGGGGCACUUGUUUCUCAUCCUGGUACCAUACCCAUCAGAUUUCCUGAAAACAUGAAGAACUACUUCAAACAAGCCACACUAAAACAUAUUCAUACAGCUCCUGAUUAUCUCAAAUGAAGUAUGGUCUCCCUUGGGACAGGACACCCAUAGGAACCCAGCUGCCUGUGCUCUAACCAUGGCAGGAAUGCAAUUGGGCUUAAUGUCUAUAACUAUGAGAACCACUUGCACAUGCAGGGCUAUGGAAAGUCGUCUCUGCAUGUAGGUGACUUCUAAGAUGAUUUCCAUUACAGCUCCUCUGAGCUGCACACCC